ACCGAAAUAGCUGAGUUGGGAGAACGUUAGACUAUAGGUCGAAAGUCCCUGGUUCGUACCCGGGUUAGGGGA
rnacentral:tRNA from 1 species